UUAUCGCGCCCGCUGAGCAUUCGGUCCACGC
rnacentral:sRNA from 1 species